GGAAACAAAUGCUAAUACCGUAUAAUAAUUAAACCGCAUUGGGUUUUUAAGUUUAAAAGAUGGUUCUUGCUAUCACUAAGAGAUGGUCCCGCGGUGUAUUAGUUAGUUGGUGAGGUAAUGGCUCACCAAGACAAUGAUACAUAGCCGAGUUGAGAGACUGACCGGCCACAAUGGGACUGAGACACGGCCCAUACUCCUACGGGAGGCAGCAGUAGGGAAUCUUCCACAAUGGACGAAAGUCUGAUGGAGCAACGCCGCGUGUGUGAUGAAGGGUUUCGGCUCGUAAAACACUGUUGUAAGAGAAGAAUGACAUUGAGAGUAACUGUUCAAUGUGUGACGGUAUCUUACCAGAAAGGAACGGCUAAAUACGUG
rnacentral:rRNA from 1 species